GUAAAAUCGGUUGAAAGAAGUUGUGUGGGAGUCUUUUGGAGAAUUGGCACAGGAGUCUGUUUUUGUUUUAUUAUCUAUAGUGGGUGGGUUAUACACUCAAUCUAUUUCCCAGGUUAACACCACCACAUGGCCUCUUGGAUGACUUUGCAGAAUCUUUCCUGUUACAAACAACGUCUUCCCUUCCUCUUACUAGUCUUGUAGCUCAUUCAAAGAGUAAUGCAAAUUGCCCUUUCUCCACUAACAAAGCUAUAAAAAAAAAAUUAAAAUGAACAAUAUCCUAGAAUUAUAGUGUUCAGUCCAGAGG